rnacentral:rRNA from 1 species
CCUACGGGUGGCAGCAGUGGGGAAUAUUGCACAAUGGGGGAAACCCUGAUGCAGCGACGCCGCGUGAGUGAGGAAGGAUUUAGGUAUGUAAAGCUCUAUCAGCAGGGAAGAAAAUGACGGUACCUGACUAAUAAGCCCCGGCUAACUACGUGCCAGCAGCCGCGGUAAUACGUAGGGGGCAAGCGUUAGCCGGAUUUACUGGGUGUAAAGGGAGCGUAGACGGGUAAGCAAGUCAGAAGUGAAAACCCAGAGCUCAACCUUGGGACUGCUUUUGAAACUGAGUAGCUAGAGUGCAGGAGAGGUAGGCGGAAUUCGUGGUGUAGCGGUGAAAUGCGUAGAUAUCACGAAGAACUCCGAUUGCGAAGGCAGCUUACUAAACUGCCACUGACGUUGAUGCACGAAAGUGUGGGGAGCAAACAGGAUUAGAUACCCGAGUAGUC